GAGCAAUGAUGAAAAGGUUUUACUGCUGACCUUUACAACUAUCAAGGUUUCUACACUUGAUCUGAGCUCA
ensembl:snoRNA